UGUGUGUGUGUGUGUGUGUGUGUGUGUGUGUGUGUGUGUAUAUACACACACACACACACACGUGCACAUACAUAUU